rnacentral:rRNA from 1 species
UAUCAGCUUGUUGGUGAGGUAAUGGCUCACCAAGGCGACGACGGGUAGCCGGCCUGAGAGGGUGACCGGCCACACUGGGACGAGACACGGCCCAGACUCCUACGGGAGGCAGCAGUGGGGAAUAUUGCACAAUGGGCGAAAGCCUGAUGCAGCGACGCCGCGUGAGGGAUGACGGCCUUCGGGUUGUAAACCUCUUUCAGUAGGGAAGAAGCGAAAGUGACGGUACCUGCAGAAGAAGCGCCGGCUAACUACGUGCCAGCAGCCGCGGUAAUACGUAGGGCGCAAGCGUUAUCCGGAUUUAUUGGGCGUAAGAGCUCGUAGGCGGUUUGUCGCGUCUGCCGUGAAAGUCCGAGGCUCAACCUCGGAUCUGCGGUGGGUACGGGCAGACUAGAGUGAUGUAGGGGAGACUGGAAUUCCUGGUGUAGCGGUGAAAUGCGCAGAUAUCAGGAGGAACACCGAUGGCGAAGGCAGGUCUCUGGGCAUUUACUGACGCUGAGGAGCGAAAGCAUGGGGAGCGAACAGGAUUAGAUACCCUGGUAGUCCAUGCCGUAAACGUUGGGCACUAGGUGUGGGGGACAUUCCACGUUUUCCGCGCCGUAGCUAACGCAUUAAGUGCCCCGCCUGGGGAGUACGGCCGCAAGGCUAAAACUCAAAGGAAUUGACGGGGGCCCGCACAAGCGGCGGAGCAUGCGGAUUAAUUCGAUGCAACGCGAAGAACCUUACCAAGGCUUGACAUGUGCCAGACCGCCUCAGAGAUGGGGUUUCCCUUCGGGGCUGGUUCACAGGUGGUGCAUGGUUGUCGUCAGCUCGUG